UGUAUUUGUGAGGUAAUUCUAUAUUUGCAGUGUUCUGUAAGAAAAUGAGGGUCAAGCAACUUCAUUUUUGUAUUGUGGUAUAUUAAGUAAAUUGCUGAUAUUGGAUCAGAGGUUAUAAAGAGGUGGGAACAGCUGGGGAGAGCGUUCUGCUCAGGUAGGGUGGGAGCUUCCCAGAAGAGCUUUUAAAUACAAUGCUGGAAAGAUGAGGGGUGCGUCUGGACUCCAGUGAUGACCUGUUUAGAUCUUUUAACAUGUCACAAUGGUCGGUCUUGUAAUUACAUUGUAGCACAAAGCAGAACAAGUUUUAUACGAUAUAAUAUGUUUAUGAAGGUGGGUUUGCAGUGCUGGUGCGUACAUUACAUCACCAUAUUCAAUGACUGGCAUGAGUCUUUGUUGUACAAUCAGUUUCUUUACUGUGGGGCUUAGGCAGAGAUGUGUGCAGAUAUCUACUCCAUGUCUCAUUGCUGUGGAGUAAGUGUAGAAACUAUAACCUAGCUGUAGGGAGAGACAAUAUAAACAAUAACUAGGUGCCAAUACUCCACAGCAUUCCCUUAAAGGGACACUUCAGUGCCAGGAAAACAAACCGUUCUCCUGGCACUGCAGGUACCCUUUCCCUCCCACCACCCACCCCAUAUUGCUGAAGGGGUGAAAACCCCUUCAGUGACUUACCUAAGACUCUCCCUCGGCGGUGGUUUUCGGGUCCGCCUACGCUCCUCCCCCACUUACGUCAUCCGGCGGGGGAGACUGAUCGCGCAUGUGCAGCCGCCGGCGAUGGAGACCUCACGUGCGCGCAUUAGACCUCUCCAUAGGAAAGCAUUGAAAAUGCUUUCCUAUGGGGAAUUGAGCUACGCUGGAGGUCCUCACACAGCAUGAAAACCUGAGCUAGAAACCAGGAAGUGCCCUCUAGUGGUUGUCUAGUAGACCACCACUAAAGGAGGUGUUAACCC